rnacentral:rRNA from 1 species
AUACGGAGGGCGCAAGCGUUGUUCGGAAUCAUUGGGCGUAAAGCGCGUGUAGGCGGCUUGGUAAGUCGGGUGUGAAAGCCCGGGGCUCAACCCCGGAAAUGCAUUCGAAACUGCCUGGCUAGAGUUCCGGAGAGGAAGGCAGAAUUCCCGGUGUAGAGGUGAAAUUCGUAGAUAUCGGGAGGAAUACCAGUGGCGAAGGCGGCCUUCUGGACGGCAACUGACGCUGAGACGCGAAAGCGUGAGGAGCAAACAGGAUUAGAUACCCCAGUAGUCC